CGGAUAUGGAGAGAGGAUCCAGCGGAGGAGCAAUGGGUUAAUGUCAAGCAACAGGUGUUACCUGUCCCUCUCCACACCAGGAUGUCUGCACAGCAGGAGUACGCAGGCAGAGGUCUCCAUUUGCUGCAUCACCUGCAGGAGCUGCAGCACAGGGAUCUGCCUGACUAGAAUGGCCCAGGCCACUGACAAUCCAGGAGCACCUGGCAGUUG
rnacentral:lncRNA from 12 species